GGGGUGGAGCAGAGGUAGCUCGUUGGGCUCAUAACCCAAAGGUCAUAGGUUCGAGUCCUACCCACCUUA
rnacentral:tRNA from 1 species